rnacentral:tRNA from 1 species
GCGCCCGUGGUGAAAUGGAUAUCACAACGGUCUUCGGAACCGUCGUUGGGGGUUCAAGUCCCUCCGGGCGCG